GUGUCUCAAUUCAGGGUCUGCAUCCUACCUCGGCCGGAUUCGUCGGCCGGUUACGUCACAGCGCCGCGACUCGGCCUGUCCCAAUUCGAAGACUCCUUCAAAUGCGGUCGACGAAUGCGGCCUUCUUUUCGCCUGAAUGAAGGAUGGGUCGGGUGUAUCCUUCAAUAGGUAGCAUUUCCCAAGAUGCCUUGCGAGCCGGCCGGCAGAAAAACUUAAAAACAAUGGCGGACAGUGAAGCGGGAGCUGUCGGAGAGGAUUGCGCAUAUAAAUGUAAGUAUAAACUUGAAAACUGUCAGUUUAAGGACUUUUUGUGAUACAUGAACGUUAUUUUAGUUAGAAAUGUUACAGUAAAAGUGCUUGUAUUGCGGUCUCGGCUCGUAUGUUCGGCCGCGCUCGGUGUCGUACUUCUCCCACUACGUUUCCCCCUGAUUUUAAUAGAAGUUUGUAUUUUAGGACCAAAAGAGAAAACCAGGGAAUUUAUUAAGCUUAGGGCGGAGAUGGACCACAUGAUCACCGGAGCAAAGUAUUCGGCGGCUGUGGCAUGGAGACUAUUCUGGAGAAAAUGGGCAUCCAGGGGAAGGUGCCAGCGAUGAGCUUCUGGAGCUGAUCUGGGAGGACAUGAGGCUGCAGAGCAGCAGAGAGCACAGGAGAGAAGGAAGAACUUUGACAGCUUUUUACUUUGCUAGAAAAAAAUGGUUAAUGAAGAUUAAACAUGUACAUGUAAAAGAAAUAUCUAAAUAAAAUCAGUUCUGCAUUAAA